rnacentral:rRNA from 1 species
AAAUGAAUUGACGGGGGCCCGCACAAGCGGUGGAGCAUGUGGUUUAAUUCGACGCAACGCGAAGAACCUUACCAGGACUUGACAUCCCUCGCAAUCUAUGGAAACAUAGAGUUCCCUUCGGGGACGAGGAGACAGGUGGUGCAUGGUUGUCGUCAGCUCGUGUCGUGAGAUGUUGGGUUAAGUCCCGCAACGAGCGCAACCCUUAUUCUUAGUUGCCAUCAUUAAGUUGGGCACUCUAAGGAGACUGCCGGUGACAAACCGGAGGAAGGUGAGGACGACGUCAAAUCAUCAUGCCCCUUAUGUCCUGGGCUACACACGUGCUACAAUGGUCUGUACAACAGGUAGCGAAGGCGCGAGCCGGAGCCAAUCCUAAGAAAGCAGAUCUCAGUUCGGAUUGUAGGCUGCAACUCGCCUGCAUGAAGUCGGAAUCGCUAGUAAUCGCGGAUCAGCAUGUCGCGGUGAAUACGUUCCCGGGCCUUGUACACACCGCCCGU